AAACCAGUGACCUCAUUUGGCAUUCAGCAGAAUAAACAUAUACUGGUUUGGCCAGCAAGUUUGUACAAACUUUUUGGCCAACCCAUUACAUAUCUCUUGCAACACUGAAGGGAACACUGGAUUUUCUAGAGUUACAGAAGGAUAACAUGAAGGACUUCAAUCAUGUGACAAUGGAAGAGAUUUUUAAAGUCACAUAUGACUACAUAUAAUUUUUUCCAUCAUAACUAAAAGACCAGCUGGUUUCAGAAAAGGCAGAGGAACCAGAGAUCAAAUUGCCCACAUCCGCUGGUUCAUCGAAAAAGCAACAGAGUUCCAGAAAAACAUCUAUUUCUGCUUUAUUGACUAUGCCAAAGCCUUUGACUAUGUGGAUCACAACGAAGUGUGGAAAAUUCUUCAACAGAUGGGAAUACCAGACCACCUGACCUGCCUCUUGAGAAACCUAUAAGCAGGUCAGGAAGCAACAGUUAGAACUGGACAUGGAACAACAGACUGGUUCCAAAUAGGAAAAGAAGUACAGCAAGGCUGUAUAUUGUCACCCUGCUUAUUUAACUUCUAUGCAGAGUACAUCAUGAGAGACGCUGGGCUGGAAGAAGCACAAGCUGGAAUC
ensembl:lncRNA